rnacentral:rRNA from 1 species
GGGGGAUAUUGCACAAUGGAGGAAACUCUGAUGCAGCAACGCCGCGUGAGGGAAGACGGUCUUCGGAUUGUAAACCUUUGUCUUUGGUGACGAAACAAAUGACGGUAGCCAAGGAGGAAGCUCCGGCUAACUACGUGCCAGCAGCCGCGGUAAUACGUAGGGAGCGAGCGUUGUCCGGAUUUACUGGGUGUAAAGGGUGCGUAGGCGGCUCUGCAAGUCAGGCGUGAAAACUAUGGGCUUAACUCAUAGACUGCGUUUGAAACUGUGGGGCUUGAGUGAAGUAGAGGUAGGCGGAAUUCCCGGUGUAGCGGUGAAAUGCGUAGAGAUCGGGAGGAACACCAGUGGCGAAGGCGGCCUACUGGGCUUUAACUGACGCUGAGGCACGAAAGCAUGGGUAGCAAAC